rnacentral:rRNA from 1 species
UGCAUAUCCAUAAGCGGAGGAAAAGAAACUAACAAGGAUUCCCUUAGUAGCGGCGAGUGAAGCGGCAAUAGCUCAAAUUUGAAAUCUGGCACCUUCGGUGUCCGAGUUGUAAUUUGAAGAAGGUAUCUUUGGUUUUGGCUCUUGUCUAUGUUCCUUGGAACAGGACGUCACAGAGGGUGAGAAUCCCGUGCGAUGAGAUGCCCAAUUCCAUGUAAAGUUCCUUCGACGAGUCGAGUUGUUUGGGAAUGCAGCUCUAAGUGGGUGGUAAAUUCCAUCUAAAGCUAAAUAUUGGCGAGAGACCGAUAGCGAACAAGUACUGUGAAGGAAAGAUGAAAAGAACUUUGAAAAGAGAGUGAAAAAGUACGUGAAAUUGUUGAAAGGGAAGGGCUUGAGAUUAGACUUGGAAUUUUCCAUUUAUGGAGCUUUCCGGGCCAGCAUCAGUUUGGAUGGCAGGAUAAUUGCGUUGGAAAGUAGCACCACUUCGGUGGUGUGUUAUAGACUUCGUCGAUACUGCCUAUCUAGACUGAGGACCGCGUCUUUGACUAGGAUGCUGGCGUAAUGAUCUUAAGCCGCCCGUCUUGAACCGCGGGACCA